CCUACGGGCGGCUGCAGUAGGGAAUCUUCCACAAUGGGCGAAAGCCUGAUGGAGCAACGCCGCGUGGGUGAAGAAGGUCUUCGGAUCGUAAAACUCUGUUGUUAGAGAAGAAAGUGCGUGAGAGUAUCUGUUCACGUUUCGACGGUAUCUAACCAGAAAGCCACGGCUAACUACGUGCCAGCAGCCGCGGUAAUACGUAGGUGGCAAGCGUUAUCCGGAUUUAUUGGGCGUAAAGGGAACGCAGGCGGUCUUUUAAGUCUGAUGUGAAAGCCUUGGGCUUAACCGGAGUAGUGCAUUGGAAACUGGGAGGCGUGAGUGCAGAAGAGGGGAGUGGAAGUCCAUGUGUAGCGGUGAAAUGCGUAGAUAUAUGGAAGAACACCGAUGGCGAAGGCAGCUCUCUGGUCUGGAACUGACGCUGAGGUUCGAAAGCGUGGGUAGCAAACAGGAUUAGAUACCCCAGUAGUC
rnacentral:rRNA from 1 species